rnacentral:rRNA from 1 species
GGGUACGGGGAUUAGGGUUCGAUUCCGGAGAGGGAGCCUGAGAAACGGCUACCACAUCUAAGGAAGGCAGCAGGCGCGCAAAUUACCCAAUCCUAAUACAGGGAGGUAGUGACAAGAAAUAACAAUACAGGACUUUUUGGUUUUGUAAUUGGAAUGAGUUAAGUAUAACCCCCUUUACCACGAUCGGUGGAGGGCACCUCGUAAAAGGCUGAUAGGUCGGAAAUUUGAAUGAUAUGUCAGAUUUUCCGGGACCCGUAAAGUUA